GAAGCAAAGCAGCGGCAUGGUCAUGCCGAAAUGCUCGCCUAUUGUCGAGCCACGGAGUCGCCGUUCACGGAGUACGUAAGAGCUCACAUGUAAAGAUCGAUGCACGGACGCUCGGUUGCAUUGCGCACCUAAUAAUUGCUGUUGGGGGGAUAUGGAGGCACACAAUUGCACGGGAAGAGGAGAGGAAAAAUCGAGGAGGCAACAAAACUGUAAAGAAAGCAAAUACCUUCCCUCAAAAGGAGGAAAAAGAAUCUAAAAGUGAGACAAGUGGGAGAAAUAAGAGGCUUCGAUUUCCGCCCUUGUGUUUCCUGUCUUUGGCAUGCUGGCUUUUGGAGCUCUCCGUCAAACGGCGAAAUUGGAAAACGAAAAAGGCUGGAAUCUUGGGAAGAAUCCAGAGACGAUGGUGUGGUAGGGUAUUUCCCUGACUUUUUUUUUUUGGGUAGAUCCUGAUUACUUUUAGGGUUUUUAUUAUGCUGCCAUGGCCUUUCCUUUUUAUCUCGUUUAACUCAUUAUUUGUUGCUUCGUAUUUCUUUUGCUUUGUCACUUCUUGCUUUCUACUGUUAAUCGAAGCUCGAUCCUGUUGCUAUUGCUGUAAGUCUAGUAAAAUUUCGAGACUACGGUGGAAAUAGACGAAGAUUUUGUUUUUCUUUUCUUCUUUUUAGACUGGAAAUGAUUGUGGACUGUGAUGAUCUAUCAUAAUAAUGAAGAGUAGAGCUAGAAUUCCCAGUGAUGGCCUCUGGAGCUGCUGUUUGGUUGCGUUGAUGUGAGUUCCAAACCAGGAAUCAUGGCCUGUAGGGAAUCCUUCGACGUCAGCAUGCACAAGUGUCCGGGGCAAUCCCCACGAGGUGGAUUCAGUGCACUAGGACCUGAUGGAAUGUCCUCGGCGAUGCCUGCACAUGUUCUAAACAUCAAUAUGGAGGAGCUUGUGAAACGAAAGCGCAGGCGACCGAGGAAAUAUGGUCCUGUUGGUUCAAUGGCCCUUGCCCUGACCCCUGUACCGACUGCCGCUCCGUUGCUGCCCAGAUCUGGUGGAUUCUCACACUCUACAGAGGCUACUAACACCGUGACAUCGGUCUCAGCAGAUACUAUAAAGAAAGCAAGGGGCCUGCCAAAAGGUUUUGGCAAGAAGCUGCAGAUGCUUGCUCUGGGAUCAGCAGGGGUUGGGUUUACUCCUCAUGUGAUUACAGUAAAGACCGGAGAGGAUGUAUCAUCCGAAAUCAUGUCCUUUUCUCAGAAUGGAUGAUGUGCCAUAUGUGUCCUUUCGGCAAAUGGUGCUAUAUCAAAUGUAACUCUUCGUCGGGCAUCAACAUCCGGUGGAUCUGUAACUUAUGAGGGACAAUUUGAAAUCUUAUCAUUAUCGGGAUCAUUUCUACUCACGGAGAGUGGUUGGUGGUCAGCAUAGUCGAACGGGUGGCUUGAGUGUUUCACUGGCUGGUCCCGAUGGACGUGUUUUAGGUGGUGGAGUUGCAGGACUUUUGACGGCUGCAUCCCCGGUCCAGGUGGGAAAAAAGAGUCAAAGCAGAUUAAUGACUUAGAUUCGGCAUCUGCCCCUGCAAAGAUUUCUCCAGGAGGGAGGUCGCCGGCAGGCAGCGGUCCAACCUCACAGGACACCUUAAGCGAAUCCUCCUGCAGGCCUGCGAGUCCUCUCAGGCCUGGGACACUCAACAACAGCAACCGGCAGGGCUUCUCCAACAUGCACUGGAAAUAGCUGACCCUGACACCACCGUGGAAUCUUAGUUCUUGGUGAAGAAAUUGCUGGUCAUUGCCUGCACCACCUCAGAUCUUUGCUCAGUACCGUGUUGUAGUUUAGAGGCAAGCAGAUCAUCUUUGUAGCUACAUUAUCUAGCUGUUUGUGCUCCUAACAGUGUGUAGAUGUUGCAUGGAGUUAAUCCGUGCAUUAUUAUUUCUCUGGUUUGACUAGUGAGUGCUUGUCUCCGUAGUGCAGAUUCAUUAUUUACUAGUGGAUGGGCAUCAAUUUUUUGUUCCAU